UAUUUCCUAUAAUAAAACUUUAAAAAAAUAUCAAGGGUUGCAAACUCAAAUGCCUACUGAGCAAGGCAGGUAAAAAAUGAGGGAAGCAAACCAGAUGGGGACUGUGAAGAACCAAGGAAGAAUAAGUCUCAUCCAGAGGGGAUGGCCACACUUAGCUCCAGCUGACUGUUGCUGGAUGGAAAUGUGGGGCUGGGCUGCCAGAUUCUCCAGUUUUUCAAGAGAAUCCAAAACUAAAAAAAAAGUAUAUGGAAUAUUCCAAUCCUUAAAUGUUGGAAACUAAUUCAAAUAUAUUUUAUCAACACUGUGGUGGCCAACUAAAACAAGUCUGAGAACCAGAUUCAGCCUACAACUGCCAAUUUGUAACCUUUGCCUAGAAGGCUAAUUUUAGGCAAUUUUCACAACUCAGAAGCACUAGAAAGUGAUGGAAAGCCCUUCCAGAAUUGAUAAAAUUAGAAUGCCAUAACUCUGCCUUGAUCUGCCUCAUUAUAGAUACUGCUCCUAUAUAUGCUUUGUUUUCCACCCUCCGGCCCCCACCUGAGUUUCUCUAACUUUAUCUUUUACUCUUAUUGCAUAAUUCUGAUCUCAAAUCGGUGACCACUGAGGACUAAGACAUCAUGAAGUUCCAAGACAAGAAGCCUUGCAAUAACAAAUUAAGCUUUAGGCUCCAUCUGGCCAGACCCUUCUUUCUGACACAUUUUGCUCCUCUUCUCAAUGAUAAGCAGCAAGGUGAUCAAAGCAAGUUUAAAAGCUUAAAUACCUCAGAAGUAUACUGUCUUCUUGGAUUUCACAAGUCAAAUUCAGUUCAAAUUGUAUUAAGAUCAAUGUUCAAUUAACUUAAUAAAUAUUUUUCUUUUGUAAUUGAAGAAGUAUAAGUCAAACGCUAAUUAAUAUGUUUAAAAUAUUUUUUCUAUUGUGACAUUAGCCAACAUAAUAUUAAGUUCAGUUAAAAAAACCUUCCCAAAUGUAUGAACUAAUUUAAACAUUAAAAAUAUAAUAGUUCUUGAUAAGAAAGUUAGUUACUUUCUUUAAUUAUGAGGGGUGUGAGUGAGUAUAAUGGGUAGUAAAUGGAAAGUUUUAGUUUAUUUAUUGGAUCGAUUAUCUAUGUGAUAUUUUCCCUCAAAAUGGAGUAUGCUGUGAAUGAAUUGCUGUCUAAUCUUUAUGCUAUAAUGAAAAAGUUGUAAAAAUAAUAGCAAAUAUAUUUUCACCUUAUCAGGCAAAGUAGCUCAGGGAUACCUCAUAAAAUCUGUAUAUGCACCAUCACUUGUUUUGAGUGCUACAAGCUGGAAAUAGGGAUUCCUAAAUGCAAGUUUUUUAUUGUACAUGAUGCUUUAAAAUAAUGCAAGGUUUCAGCUCCCUGUCCCCAGGGCCUGUUCAGGGUGCCAUGUGCUCAUGGCACACUGCUGGCUGAAGGAGCCCAGUCCUGGGAUGCAUAGUCAUAUUCCAUGGGUGUGCCUGUUCUCCAUCACAUCCUCCGUAGUUGGUGUUCAUGGCAUUUGCUUUCAGGAAGACAGAAUGUCGGUCUUGUGUGCCACCCACAGUGUAUCCCUCCCUUACCACCUAUGUGACUGAGGUUGGCUUCUGUGUUGACCUUUAUAAAACAAAACCCUCAAAUCAAGUUGCUAUAAUUAGAAAAGAAAGAAAGGAAGGAAAAAAAAGAAAGGAAGGAAGGAAGGAAGCCAACAAGCAAGCAAACAAACUGGGUUUGAACAAAUAGGUUACAAAAUUGUUUGUGUCUUCCUACCACAAAUGAUCAUAACUUAUGAUUUUCUUAUAGAAUUGAUUUUUACAUAACUUAAAAUUAUGCUCUAAAAUCAAAAGUUAAAAAAUACAGAUAAUCCAAAUAAAGACUGUAAAAAUUAAAAAUACAGUCCUAGAGAGAAUAACUA